GAACUCAAAGUCCUAAUUUAAUAAGCGAUGUUUUCAUUUCAAUAUUACCAAUAAUUAUUUGUUAAAACCGGAUCUUCCUCAUUUGCCUUCUGGAGCCAUGGGUUUAACGCCAGGAACUGGUUUAAGAGUGACAAAGUCAACAGGUGGUUUUGCCAACGCAAUGCCUAAAACAGCUAAUAAGAUUAUAGCAAGCUUCAUUUUCUACAACCAGUAAUAAAUACGUUUCUCUAAGAACUGAACUGAAAUUGUUCAGAAACUUUAAGGAGUAGAAAACCAAUUCGAUUUGGCUCUCUGUGCAAAUAGGUUUACACCUAACUAUGUAUCUAAACUGACUUAGCUCCACCGAGUGUCUGGCCCAAAAAGCAACAAUUAAAUGUAUAAAAUAUUUGGGCUUCAGCCGAGUCGAAGGCGCUUUUAGUGCGGCACAUCCCGAUGGCCUUAGUUUACUUAGUUUAUUUUUUUUGAAACGCGAACAGAUGGAAGUGGAAGUGGAGGGGGGGGGGCAAGGCUUUUAGCCAAAGUCCCCAGUUGCUUGUAAAUUGUUCUAUGGCCGCCAAACACAUUGCGAAAUGUGACAAAUAUGCAUUUGGCAACAAUAAAUUUUACGACCGCAGUCGCCGCCGAAAAUAUUUCACACAGCCUCGGGAGUCUGGAGUUGGAUCGAAAUUUAGGGUACGGGUAGCGGAGGGGCGGAGGACGGCAUCGGGAUGUCGGAAAAGUCGGCUGGGGAAUAACUCCAUAUCCAUAUAAAUAUAAAUUAGCAUAUUUUGCGGCGCCAGUGCGGCGGCAACUGCAAUUUCUCUCCACGGCCAAUUGUAAUUAAAUUGUCGCGAGGCCAGAGGAACGCACACAGCCAUUCGCAUAUAUGCAUAAAUAUAAUUGCUAGAUUUUAUUGCUCCAGUGUUUUUUUCGUAAUUCAAUUUGGCUGAUUUAUGCCGCCAGC